CAGCCAGAAGCACGGAGACGGCACUAGCAGCUGAAGCAGACAUAUUACUAAAUGAGUUGAUAACUAGCAAAACUAAAACUAGUGGUUUGUAUAAAUUUAAGCAGAAGUCUGGGUGUGAGGUGACCUACCGGAUCUACGGACGUGUGCGCCAGGAGUUUUAACAACUGUUGGCAGCGUCUUGGCUAGGUUUUGGAGAUUCCCUGGAGAAAACCCCUAGAUUUGAAUGUGGAUUCAGAUUCUCCUUGAUGAAGGAGAUGGCGAGCCAACUGUGAAACUGAGCAUCCGAGGAGCUGGAGUGACAUCACUCUUGCCCCAAGGAGGAAACCCACCUUCCUGUCUUUUCCCCUUUCACCUCUGUGGUAGGACUAAAGUGCCCCAAGAUUCCAGUGGGUUGAUCAGGCUGAAGUGUGCUAUCAGGGCAGUUGAUGAGCAGAUUCAGGCUGAGGAUGGAUCUCUUUGGCUCCGCGACACUUGUGACAAUCAUUCAGGACUCAUAACCUCCUGCUGACAUACUGCCCAAUUACUCGGUAAUAUCCACGGUACCUGUGCGUAUGUGUGUGUGUGUGUGUGUGUGUCUGAAAGUAACUAGGUAAGGGUGUGAGUGAUGGAUAAAGCUGCCGGAAUGACAUACAUGUGGGCAAGUAUGUGUGGACAAAUGCGUAUGUGUACACAGUGUGUGCACCAUGUGUGAGCAUGUCUGUAUGUGUAGGCGCAUCUGUGAUGGAUCAAGCUAUCCCUGGAAUGACAUUCUUGUGGGCGAGUCUGCCUGCGUGUGUGUGUGUGUGUGUGUUUAUAGCUGUAUAUAUCUGUGAAUGUAUUGUAUAAGUGUGUGUGUGUGUGUGUGUGUGUGUGUUUGAGAUAGAGAGUGUGUGUGCAUGAUGGAUCAACCUAUCUCCACAGAGGCAGAAUGACAGAGAGGAGCUGAAGACGGUGAAAAUGGGAGAAUGUUUUGGUGCUGUGACCAGAGUUCAGAUGUGUUUUAGCUCCUGAAGUAGGAAAGCUGAGAACACUCAGGGGGACUGUUUCUACUCACAGAUAGGUACCAAAGAUAAUGCAUUAUAUUCCUUUAGAAUCUGCAGAUCUAAUAAUAGUCACAGUCCAACUUCCUUCAGACAGGUAGGUUUGGUCAGGUGAAAAGAAUUGACGCAGUUGAAACAAAUCACAAUCCUGGAAAUGAGCACAUGGAGCACAUUUCAAGGCAAAUGUGUGGCAGAAAUACGUAGCUAUUCAGAAUUACAAUACAUGUCAAAAGAGAAAAUAAAAUGAAUUAAAGUCAAACUAGAAUUACUGCCUUGUGGUUGUAUGCCUCUGCAAACCAGUCUAGUUGCAGUUAAUGUCUAUGUCAUUGUCAAUGAAAAUGCUUCAAACAUGA